rnacentral:SRP_RNA from 1 species
GCUGGGCAUGGUGGUGCAUACCUGUAAUCCCAGCUACUUGGGAGGCUGAGGCAGGAGAAUCACUUGAACCCAGGAGGCAGAAAUUGCAGUGAGCGGAGAUUGUGCCACUGCACUCCAGCCUGGGUGACAGAGUGAGACUCUGUCUCAA